AGAUCAUGGAGGUGCAGCUCAUAAUCUAGAUAUGGACCGUGGGGAGGGCAAAGCAGCCCUUCUGAAGUCGAGCAGAUAAAGCAGAGGAGAGUCUCAGGCUGAGAGAUUUGCAUUUGUCAAGUAAGGCGUGAAGUCUCAAGAAAAAAUGCCUCAUUCAAGGCUGAAAGUCUAGAACUAAAUCAUUGUAAGAGGAACAUGAUGCUCUCAGGAAAAGUGAUUCUCAAGAGAGAUCCUGGGCUUUUGCAUCAAUUUGCUUUUCUAUCUACAGGCUAUUUAAAAACCUGCAGUCCCAGCCUCGGUUUGACCCUACUGAAUGAGAUUCUCCAUAUGUGCAGUGCAGGGGCUGCUGAGCCAGAUGAGAGACUGCGCCCUAAGUGAAGUUGUCAUCAGCCACCCAGGAAUCAGGAAUACAGGUUCCCAGACUCCUGGAGCGUAGCGUGCUUGCCGCAACCCCUAUGUGAGGCACUCUCCUGAGGGGGGCAUCCCAGGGAAAAGGAACAACCACUGGAUUCAAGGUUGACUUCAAUUCGCACAUCCCAGGGACCUUACAAAAGUCUCUUUGGAGGUUAUUUUUUUCAUUAUUAAAAUAAGAAAGUGGAAUCAGAUAGUCUUUAAAU
rnacentral:lncRNA from 1 species